UGAACGCUAGCGCAGGCUUAACACAUGCAAGUCGAGGGGUAGAAAUAGCUUGCUAUUUUGAGACCGGCGCACGGGUGCGUAACGCGUAUGCAAUCUGCCUUUUACAGGGGGAAUAGCCCAGAGAAAUUUGGAUUAAUGCCCCAUAGCGCUGCAGGGCGGCAUCGCCGAGCAGCUAAAGUCACAACGGUAAAAGAUGAGCAUGCGUCCCAUUAGCUAGUUGGUAAGGUAACGGCUUACCAAGGCGAUGAUGGUAGGGGUCCUGAGAGGGAGAUCCCCCACACUGGUACUGAGACACGGACCAGACUCCUACGGGAGGCAGCAGUGAGGAAUAUUGGUCAAUGGGCGCAAGCCUGAACCAGCCAUGCCGCGUGCAGGAUGAAGCAUCUAUGGUGUGGAAACUGCUUUUAUACAGGAAGAAACACUCCCUCGUGAGGGAGCUUGACGGUACUGUAGGAAUAAGGAUCGGCUAACUCCGUG
rnacentral:rRNA from 1 species